AAUGUCCUUCAGUUAUGUGGACCCUGCAGGCCUGCAGAGAGGAAUCCUGCUAAAAGAGCCACGACUGUUUCCACCCCUUUUUUAAUGCUGAAGGUCUACCUCUCUAUUCUCCAAAGAGCAUUUUCCUGAAAUUCACUGCAGGAAUUUCGACUGCUGCCCAGCUGCAUCAUUCUGACACACAGGCAGAAUGAAGAGGGCUCCAGUAUGACCAUCUGUGGGACAUAGGAUGCAACCAUGGACAUCACAACUCAAACAUGCUCUAGCCAACUGAGAGAUUGGUUGGCAGAGGCUGAAAGAGAGUCAUGAGCCAGAUUGCUCCUUCUUGGAGGGCUGCACCGGCCUCAUUCUUCUCCCUCCUGGGCAGUCCUAAGGAGAACAUGUUCUUCAGAGAGGUUUCCUUCUGCUUCUCUAAAUCAUGUGGAUGGGCCUUGGAAGACCAGCUCUUGCCCACAGGACAUUUCCCAGUCUGCUUUCCAAGCCGGGAGCCAAUUCUGACACCAUCCAAAACUUAAGAUUGUCUUCUGAAUAUAAGCCUCAGGGCCAAGGAUUGCUGGAGAAUUUCCUACCUUUUUCCUGCUUCUGCCUGAAUCUGAAGUAUACUGUGGCAGCUUUAUGUUCUCUCACUGCUGACGUGUAUUUCUAUAAAGGGGUCAGCAACCAAGAUGUGGCUCAUGCUGUAGCAAAAGAGUACUCAACAUGGAUGGGAAGCCCUUGGCAGGGCCACAGCAGCAGAGGACUCAAAUGUAUUCAGCUCUCCUCUCUAUUUCACUGAACUUCAAUAGCAGCACUUGUCUUCUACAGUCAUGGGGAACAAAGAAGCCUGUAUGUGUUGAUCUGGGCUUGGGGAUGCUCUUAGUUGUGUCAGGUUUAUGAGAUUACAAUCUUUUGAUUCUUCGUGCAUGUACUGCGUGGUUAUGGAUUGUUCUUUUAGACAGUUCUUUUGGAAGAUCAGCCCACUACUUUUCCCCAUAUUUUUGUUAAAAUGUAUACCUGGUUCAAAAUUGAGGAGGAGAAGAAGAAUAAGAUUUAGAAGGGAAAUAUUUAAAGAAUAAUCCUUGCAAGGGCUUUUUUUUUCACACUGCCACCUUCCAGUCUCUAUUUUGGACAGCCAUGCUCAAAGUAUUAGCCCAGAACAUAGUCCCAGAGACCAGAUGUUGCUGUAAAUGCAGUGGAAUUAGACAGGAGGAAUCUGUUUCCUUUUCUGUUUGAAAGGCAUUUCUGAGGAGGCUGAACCAAAACACAGAAGUCACAAAAUGGUUUGCAUGCAACUUUGUCAUUAAUUGCUAAAUAAAAUGAUCCUGAGAUGAAGGU
ensembl:lncRNA